AACGAACGCUGGCGGCAUGCCUAACACAUGCAAGUCGAACGAGACCUUCGGGUCUAGUGGCGCAAGGGUGCGUAACGCGUGGGAACCUGCCCUUAGGUUCGGAAUAACUCCCCGAAAGGGGUGCUAAUACCGGAUAAUGUCUUCGGACCAAAGAUUUAUCGCCUUUGGAUGGGCCCGCGUUGGAUUAGCUAGUUGGUAGGGUAAACGCCUACCAAGGCGACGAUCCAUAGCUGGUCUGAGAGGAUGAUCAGCCACACUGGGACUGAGACACGGCCCAGACUCCUACGGGAGGCAGCAGUGGGGAAUAUUGGACAAUGGGCGAAAGCCUGAUCCAGCAAUGCCGCGUGAGUGAUGAAGGCCUUAGGGUUGUAAAGCUCUUUUACCCGGGACGAUAAUGACAGUACCGGGAGAAUAAGCUCCGGCUAACUCCGUG
rnacentral:rRNA from 1 species